rnacentral:lncRNA from 1 species
UUGCGCAGGUUUCGUGAAGGGACAGUCUCCUACGAGGAUAUUAGUAGCAGUGUUUUUUAAACUGGAAGAAAGCCAAGUGAGUUGCCUUUCGUAUCCUGGCCGUCCUGAGGCAAGCUUUUAAGAAGUUUCUCUAGGAGUGGGACCUCCCCAAUCCUGUUAGAGGGCAGUAAGUGGUCUUUUGAGACCUAUGUGGCCUCAUUAAUGCAUUCUAUCUGCAAACGUUUGUUGAACCCUGCCAUCUGCUAGGUACUGAAGGUGCAAAGAAAGAUAUAUCUUGCCUUCAAGUUGUGCACGGGCUAAUGGGAUAGCAGAUAAAUAAAUGAUGCACUGUUUGAGGUGUUAAAAGAAGCAAAUGCCGAGAUUGGGGAGGUGGGGUGGUUAUGACUGUGGUGCUUCAGCCUGGUCCAAGGAAGGCUUCAGAAAGAAGAUGACACUUGAUAGAAGAAACUGUUCAGAGUUUUGCCUUAAAUUAUGAGAAGAGUUAGCAUGGUACUCCUACUUCUGUUAGUGCACCCAAAAAUCUAUCAGUAAAAAUAUAAUUGGGAGAGAUUCGUCAGAAUUCCUUUAUGUGUUUUGUUGUAUUUAUUCAUUAGGAAGAGGUAGGAGAUAAAUGCAGUAAGGAUGCUGUUACUCUUAAUGGAAUUGAAAUCUAACAAGUGUUCUCAGGCAACCUCUGGAGGAAUCCAGCACACACGGAAUAUCUCCAGCCACCCCACAGCACAUCCCCAGAGCUUCAGCUCAAGAGGUAAGCCGCAGCCCACUCUGCAUGCCACUGCAGACGGCUACUUACAAAAGGGACUGUUUCAGAGUUAACUUCAUUUCAUUGAUGAGUUUCAUUUCAUUGUCCAACAGACUUGCCUAGGUUGUCCACGAACACUCCUUCAUUUAGGAGCCAAGUUGUGGGGUAAUUUAUAGGGAUGUUGUUACUUCACAUUAUUGCUAUUCUUACAGUGAUGAAAGAAACCACCACUUCUUAAACAUUUGCUGGCUGUGGACCAGCAUUUCACAUAUAUCCUCUCUUUUAAUUCUGACAACUCAAUGAAGUAAAUAUUAUCAUUCUCAUUUUACAGACAAAAAAAUUCAA